rnacentral:lncRNA from 1 species
CUAUGAUCAAGUUCUAGUUAGCAAGGCUAAAACAAGCAAUGAAUAUAAAUCUAUCAUGAAUAUCACAACAAGGCAUAUCUAUAGUUUGGGGCUAAUCCCACCAACCUAUCUGAACCCUGGAUCUAAUAAAUGAACUACUUAGACAUAGCAAAGCAAUUCAUGACAAUGAAGAAAUGGAAAUUCAUAGAAUAGAUGAAAAGAAAUGAAAACAAGGAGUUCCAAUCACAAGUGAU